rnacentral:rRNA from 1 species
GGCCCUCUGGGUUGUAAACUGCUUUUAUCUGGGAAGAAAAAGUCCAUGCGUGGAAAAUUGCCGGUACCAGAUGAAUAAGCACCGGCUAACUCCGUGCCAGCAGCCGCGGUAAUACGGAGGGUGCAAGCGUUGUCCGGAUUUAUUGGGUUUAAAGGGUGCGUAGGCGGCUGAAUAAGUCAGCGGUGAAAGACUUCGGCUUAACCGGAGCAGUGCCGUUGAUACUGUUUAGCUUGAGUGUUGGAGGGGUACAUGGAAUUGAUGGUGUAGCGGUGAAAUGCAUAGAUACCAUCAGGAACACCGAUAGCGAAGGCAUUGUACUGGCCAACAACUGACGCUGAGGCACGAAAGUGUGGGGAUCGAACAGGAUUAGAUACCCUGGUAGUCCACACCGUAAACGAUGAUUACUCGCUGUUAUGCUGUAUAGUGUAGCGGCCAAGCGAAAGCGUUAAGUAAUCCACCUGGGGAGUACGCCGGCAACGGUGAAACUCAAAUGAAUUGACGGG